rnacentral:rRNA from 1 species
CGGGUGAGUAAUGCUUGGGAAUCUAGCUUAUGGAGGGGGAUAACUACGGGAAACUGUAGCUAAUACCGCGUAGAAUCGAGAGAUGAAAGUGUGGGACCUUCGGGCCACAUGCCAUAGGGUGAGCCCAAGUGGGAUUAGGUAGUUGGUGAGGUAAAGGCUCACCAAGCCGACGAUCUCUAGCUGGUCUGAGAGGAUGACCAGCCACACUGGGACUGAGACACGGCCCAG